rnacentral:lncRNA from 1 species
UUCUAUAAUUACAAGCAAAAUUUAGAGAAAUAAAUAAUCAAAUUAGAGAAGAAAAAGUCAAGAAAAAGGAGAAAAUGCAAAUCAUAACUCAAAUGUAUUUUUACAAUUUGUAGAUAAUGAGAAAACAAGGCAAUAAGGCACGUGUAUCAAACACCAGUAACUCGCCAUUCUCCUUACUCGCCGAGUCGUACCGAUCUCGACCUUCCAGCAACGAGUCAAACCCGAGUUGCUUGCCAAUCCGACCAGCUAUAACUCGGCAUACUAACAUGGCCCGCCUUCCCCUGCCACCACCGGCACUUUCGUGAGCCUCACCACUCCCAGAAUAUGUACAAAUAGCCGCGCCUUUCCGGCCGUGAAAUGACCAAGCGCCACCACCCGAAUCAUACGCGCN